AUUAUCCUCAUAAGUUUUACGAUAAGAGAAACCAUAUAAUAUUAAAUUAACCAUAAUUUAAUUAAUAAUAUGGUAUAAUAAAAUCGGAGGCCACGACUGUUUACUAAAAACACAAUUCAGAGCAAUAAUUAAGAUAAUAGUAUUCUGGAUGAAAUUUGCCCAAUGCCAUUAAUAUAAGAAAGGUAAUUUUAAAGUUACUAAUCGAAAGUCUGGUUAAUAGCGGUCUUAACUAUGAGGAUCCUAAGGUAGCAAAAUAAGUUGGCCAUUAAAUGUGGUCUUGUAUCAAUAAUGUAACGAUGGUCUCACUGUCUCUACAACUUGCUCAGUGAAAUUGAAUUGCGAGUGCAGAUGCUCGCUGUCUUCAGAGGGACGGGAAGACCCUAU
rnacentral:rRNA from 1 species